CAGGUCAGGCUGUCCAGUAACAUGUUAUACAUCAGGUCAGGCUGUCCAGUAACAUGCUAUACAUCAGGUCAGGCUGUCCAGUAACAUGCUAUACAUCAGGUCAGGCUGUCCAGUAACAUACUAUACAUCAGGUCAGGCUGUCCAGUAACAUGCUAUACAUCAGGUCAGGCUGUCCAGUAACACAUCAGGUCAGGCUGUCCAGUAACAUGCUAUACAUCAGGUCAGGCUGUCCAGUAACAUGCUAUACAUCAGGUCAGGCUGUCCAGUAAUACAUCAGGUCAGGCUGUCCAGUAAUACAUCAGGUCAGGCUGUCCAGUAACAUGCUAUACAUCAGGUCAGGCUGUCCAGUAAUACAUCAGGUCAGGCUGUCCAGUAACAUGCUAUACAUCAGGUCAGGCUGUCCAGUAACAUGCUAUACAUCAGGUCAGGCUGUCCAGUAAUACAUCAGGUCAGGCUGUCCAGUAACAUGCUAUACAUCAGGUCAGGCUGUCCAGUAACAUGCUAUACAUCAGGUCAGGCUGUCCAGUAACAUGCUCAACAUCAGGUCAGGCUGUACAGUAACAUGCUAUACAUCAGGUCAGGCUGUCCAGUAACAUGCUAUACAUCAGGUCAGGCUGUCCAGUAACAUGCUAUACAUCAGGUCAGGCUGUCCAGUAAUACAUCAGGUCAGGCUGUCCAGGUACAUACGUUUCAGUAACAACAGACUGUCAGGUUAUUAGAUAUAUACGUUUCA